UAACCCUUAUGGCCUUACCCUUACGCCUUAUGCCCUUAUUCUAGAUUUCAAUUUUCAGAUCUAGACUUCUACACUUCUACUGUACUGAUAAAAGUGAGAAGUGAAAGACAGGCGAAAUCGAGAGAGAGAGUGAGAGACAACGAUCGAUCGGCACUGCUACAGGUAGCUUCAACAGAGAGAGUGAGAGGCGAGAUCGAUCGACACUGCUACAGUUCGGUUCUUCCCUACAGGUAACUUCUUCUUCUCACCACUUCGAUCGAUUGACACUGCUAUGUUCUGUUUUUGUUUUUACUUUUUAGUUUGUUUAUGGUUUUCUACUACACUUCUGUUUUUGUUUUCAGUAUGUUUUCAGUUUGGGGUUACUAAAUUUCUUCAAUUUUGGUAAAACCCUGCAAUUUCGGCAAAGAAGAGAAGCAAUUUCUGCAAUUUCUUUUGUUGGGGUUACUAAAUUUCUGCAAUUUCUUAAUUUUGGGGUAUGGAUAUAACAAUAUUUUGCAUGUAUUUGUUGGCUCCUGCAAGUAUUCCAUUAUUUUCCUGAUUUUUAGUUACUUUGUUGACUAAGCUAUGAAAUAGUUAAUCACAGAAAGCUUAUGGAUUCAGGUUCUCUUUCAAUCAUGUAUCAAACUAUAUGUCAAGGUGGUCAUGGUUAGGAAUUAUUUUGUGGUUUUAUUUAAUCGAUCAACUCUUUUGCUUUCUUCUACUUUUGUUGACCCUAUUUCUGUGAUCAAUUAUUGUUUUUUCUCUUAAUUUAAUAUCUUAUAAUAUGAUUUCAUGCUUUUAGCUUCAUUUUUUUCCUUUUUUUUUGUUUGAAUAAUAAUUUAUUUUAUGAAGACAUUGAACUUGUUUCUACCUAUUCUUUUGUUUCAUCUGAUUACUAAGGGGAUAAGUUAAUCAAGAAGCUAUAUUUCUUAAUCUUACAAUCAUAUGGCUGCUGGGAUAGUGAUUGGAUCUGUACUAGGAUUUCUUUUGCUUGUUUUACUUGUCCUUGACUCCUUGUUUUGUGUAGAAAGAAAAGGAACAAGAAGACUAGUUCAGUUGAUGUUACUGCAAUUAAGCAUAAUCAACAAAUGGAUAAUGUUAUGUUUGGGACUGCUGAGAUUUGUUGAGAGCUUCUGCUGAACUUUUUCUUGAUCAGGCUCCCAUGUUUUCUUCUUAUUACAGCCCUAGUAGUCACAUGCUAAUGCUUAGUUUUUAGCUUUAUUUUGUUGAUUGUGGCUAAAUGGAUGAAUUAAGAUGGUCCAUACUCCAUAUAUAUAUAUGAGUUAAUGACACAUUUAUGAAUCUUUUUGUACAGGAUGUCAAGCUAUUCUUUGGAGCUUAUUUCUGUUGAUGCCUUGAUGGUGAAAUUAAUAGUCUUGCUGAGUGCCUGAGUUGCUGUCUUCAGUGUCUUGGAUGUGAAAUUUGAAUGUGUAUUACUGACUUACUGUACUUUAUGUCUUUAUCAUUUAUCAAUCAUUGUAUGUAAAUACUAAAUUGUAAUAUGUUACAACAACUAAACUUUC
rnacentral:lncRNA from 1 species